UCAUUAUUGAGAUUCAGGAGAUGUACCGUCGUGAAUAGUCUAUGAGUUAAGCUUUGAUUCCAUCGAUUCGUAUUUGGCUCAUAUCCUCCGCAACGAUGUCUUGAUUCAUAACUUCUUAACUCCAUCAAUUCACAUCAGUCAUGAUUUCACAUUCAAUGUUAUUUAUCUCUCUUAUAUAGGCGGUGUAUCUCCCCCAUAAAAAGUUUCUAGGAUUCAUGUCUACUGCAAGCUCUAAUUAGGUCAACCAACAAUGGAGGCUGUAUCCGGUGGUUCCCGGAUCUACCACACUCCCACACUCGGUUCCGUUGUAAACUCCAUAAAAUGGAAUCAUACGAUUUUUUUUAAUGCAGAUUUAGUUGUAGCGAGGUCGGAAGAU